AGCUCCACCGGGUCGACGGCCCGCGUCACCACCAGGUAGUCGCGCAGCGCCAUGCCGUGCCGGUUUUC
rnacentral:sRNA from 1 species